UGCAUGUCAUUUAAUUUGUUGUAGCAAUUGCAUGUCUUACUUUUAUUUAUUGGUAUUACUCAAUAGUUAUUCUCACCUAACCCGAUAGUGUAUGAAUCUUUUACAUUAUUAUUGUAUAUAAAAGUUAGAUUACGCUUUCUCUCUUUGUCUUAUCCGUUCAAUUAAUUAUUUUGGCAAAUGAGCAGUCUCAUUUCUAGCAGCUCUAACUAGAAUAAAUAUCUUGAUAACACAGAAAUCUCUCUAGAGUACAGAAAAAAAUGGACAUACAAAGAGAGCAAGAGGGAAAAAAAUGCAAGCCUAGGAAACUCAAGAAUUUCAUGUCAAUCAAAACACUGCUUGUUGUCAUCAACUCCAUCUUCAUGGCAGUUGGCCAAAUAGCAGGGUGGAGUAUAGCCAUAUCAAAGCUGGAGUUGCUGUUACGUUUGAUCUUGUCAUGCAAAUGCAGUUUCUUAUAUGCAUCUUCUCCACUUUGUUUUGUGUCGUCGCCAUGAUUAUGAACGAAGAUUUUCAGGCCAUCCAUAGAGAGGCUGAAGAAUUUGGACUGGGGCAGAACAAGUAUUAUAUGAUAUUAGCACUAUCAGCAAUAGCUUUGCAAAUUAUGAUUAUUGGAAAUCUUGGGCUGAUCUUCAGCUCCUCAGCUCUAUUGUCAGGGAUAUUUAACUCCUUCUAGUUCCAGUACAACAGAUCUUUGCUGUUAUGUUCUUACCUGAAAGCUUCAAUGCAGAAAAGUGGAUGGCUUUAGCUAUGUGUCUUUGGGGUUUCGCCUCUUAUUUCUAUGGUGAAUAUAAGGCCAGCUUAAAGGUCACAAAGACCAAACACGCAACUCAGCCAGACCAAGUUUGAGUAAAUUACUACCUUUGUAAUUUUCAUUGGUCGUAUGCAGAAUUUUUCGUAAAUAAUGUCGACCUAUAAUAUUAAUUCGGCUUGUACACAAGUUUGAAGGCGUUACUUCCUAUUGGUGCUGGCAGCCUAUUAUGUAUGCACGUGUAUAUAUAUUAAUUUU